rnacentral:lncRNA from 1 species
AAUCCAAAGGCCUCACGUGAUGGAGCUUCAAAAUUUUCGUAUCAUGUUGCGUCAAAGCUUUGAAACAUGCUGAUAUGGCUAAAGAUUGAGGAUGAUUCGAGUGCUGGGAUGUCGAUGAGGAUCUGCAAAAGAAGUCCACACUUGUCGGAAGGGUUCUAUGAUGGGAGACUCUCCAAUGAUUAAGUCAGUUGAAGUUUGAGAAUAGUAAGAAAUGAAAAGUAUGAGUUCAGUAUUGUAUAGCAUUGCGUAUCUUGAGGAUCUCUUCAUUACCUCUUUAUAUAGAUAUAGCGUUGUAGAUUAUUACGUAGG